CAGGGAGGGUCACGAGGAGGAGCUGCGCUGCCCAAGUCCCCCAGAACCCCAGGUCUGUUUCCCUCUUGGUAAUGGAUGGAGAAACUUCUCAUAGUCUACGAGGGAUUGGUCGUAAAAACUUCGCCUGGAAGAUUAAUGUAAUAAUCACAGGCCUUUCCGGG